UGUGAGGCCCCCAACACACAUACAGUAGAGGACUGCCAGGUUCCUCUUCAUUGGAAAGCUGAGCUUUCCAAUUGAUUGCAGAGCUGACCUACUCUGGAGCAUAGAAAUACCACAUGCAUCCAGGAAUAGAAAGGGCCAGGAGUUUCCUUUUUCCUAUUUGCAGAAAAAAACUAAGUAACAAAAAGGAACAGUUAGAGACUGAAUUGGAUUAUUUCUUU